CGGCGGUCAAUGACGAUUGACCCCCACUGGGGGCAUUAGCACAUAACUGGUUGCAAUCUCUUUUCUGAGCUUCUGAUUUCAUACAUCCCUCCACGGAUCACCAAGAUGACAUUUCUCCACAGAAAAAUCAUCUGUGGCCUGUUUAAUGGUGAACUUGUGCAAGAAGUACAAAAAUUGGAGUCACAACCUGGACUUCUUCCUUCACACAAAGCUAACAGAAAUAUUAUAGGCCCUGAUACCUACUCCUAUUCAGAACACUACCAUCUUUUGGCAAUAAGUACCAAUCCAUUUUCCCCCCUUGAUGUCAAAAAGAAAACAUCAACAGCAGAAAGAGUACUUCACUAAUUCAACAGAACCGAACAAGACGGAGAAGCUAAAGUGGUAAAGUGGCUUAUAUGACUGGAUAUAGGUGGCCACACGUGGCGGAUUCUUCCUGGAAGCUCCAUGUAUUGUGAUUGGAUGCGAUUUAAGAGAUACCCAAUCACAGGACUGAAUGGAACUCUCAAUAUAAUGGCUCACAUAGAACUUCAGAUUCAGGUACCCAGACUAAUUGCAACUAAAUAAAUUACACGUCUUUAAGAAAAAUACAAUUGGGUCCAAGACUGGCUCACAUUGGUAUGGAGGGUGAGUCAUACAGUCAGUGGAGCAAAGGUUUGCGAAGUUCCCUUUCUUCUCUCGAGAUUCCACUGGGAGCUUUGAAUUGGCUCUGGCGCUCCACUGGGUUAUAGAGCUCCUGGGUGUAAACAAACAGGCAAUUGGCUUGGAGAUGGGACCGGAGGACACCCACUGACCUUCGGUUCUCCUGAGCUGUUCUGGGGAGUUGCUGAAGUGAGUGAACAUAAUUGGACAUUCUUAAUUGGGGAUAAAACCCGGAUGUACAUAAACAGGGCACUUUAAAUGUAUAUAAAAAUAAAUAAAUAAAUACAAAUAGACAAUUGGUCUUGUGUGAUUAACACACUCGAAUUUAACACCUGUGCCAAAGACCCAGCAAAGGGGACAGCCAUGUAAGGCAAAGAAAAUGCAUUGGCCUUUUAUCAGUUUGAAGUGGCAAAGCUGGCGAUAAGGGCCUUGACAGCCAUAAGGCAUGUGGUAUGUUUCAGCUGCUAACUCGAUUUAUAAAUAGGCCACUCUAGAAGUGUGACUGCCUGAGCGUGCACGGAAUGACACUGAUAAACUCUGGGCUAGCCGAACUAAAGCAAUGUCCCCUCAAGAGCUUGUCAAGAGCUAAAGAAAAUUAAUGACACUCUUAUGUCAAAGUGUGCAGGUCAGCACCUUUACAAACUAUAGAUUUUUCAAAUUCCUCAGAGCGAUGUGCAAAUAUCUUUCUGCUAAUUUGUAGAAUAACAUACAGUGACAUCUGGUGGCUAGAUGUUGUAAUUGCACCAAGGAUCUUUUUCAACUUAAGCAACCUGGUAACAAACUGUGCCUUGUUUGUUCCUGUUUGUUUUCGGCUAUGAAACAGUGCUUGAACUGCAGCUUUUCUUGUAUCUGGGUCUUAUUCCUGACGCUAUCCUGCUACAAUAGCAUAUGCGUAGUGUAGGGUAGCGUGACAUAUGCAUUUAUCACGGUAUAACUAUCAGGGGCAUCAAUUUUUGAUGGUUUUGAAAGAUGCAAAAUACAAUUGGGAUACCAUUAUAAUCCAGGAUGUUAUCCAGUAGAAACCUGAGCAGAACUAUUAGCAGACCACAGCACUGUCAGCAAUGGCAAGGGAUUUGGAUCCAAUUUUACAUACAGCGUGCAUUAUACAGCGUGCAUUAUUUUUAUACCAUUUUGAUACAUGAAACCAUGAAUGUUACCAGUGUUAUGCAAUAAAUACCCUACAGAUACCCAUAUGUUACCCUUUAGUUUUGCAUUCAUUGAAGGUGCCAGUGUUACACAUGCAUUGUCUUGGCUCACCAGGUAGAAGCUUGGCCGUGUGUGGUGUGCAGGCUGAGUCAUACAGUCAGGGGAGUGCUGGGAUAACAGCGGGAGCGUUGCUUGGGCUCUGGUGCUCAUGUAGUUUAAGAAGGCAAACCCUUCAGGGACUGAUUCUCCUUAUCAUGCUACAGCAGACCCUAUUGGCCAGGAGCCUGGUGAGCUCAAGCCAACACUUGCAGUGCUGGCCUUUGUAUCUCUUGAGACAUCUGCUCUCGAGUUCCUGGGGUAAAGGGGAAAUUGGAUUGGUUGUGGGCAAUGGCUGCGGUGAGAGAAAGUAA